rnacentral:tRNA from 1 species
CUUCAGAUGGAUGAUCCCAAGCCUUCUGGCGACCUGACAGAUUGUAAGGUGCGUAGCCGGUUAGGUUUGCCGGUGAAUGUGAAUUUGCCGAGGGCUUGUAGCUCAGUUGGUUAGAGCGCGCGCUUGAUAAGCGUGAGGUCGGAGGUUCAAGUCCUCCCAGGCCCACCAUAUUGCGCUCACUGUUUGGAGUUAGCAUAUAAGAUUGCUAUGAACUCAAAUGGAUGUGAGUAUAUAAAAGUAUUAGGGGCCAUAGCUCAGCUGGGAGAGCACCUGCUUUGCAAGCAGGGGGCCCGUCGGUUC